rnacentral:rRNA from 1 species
AGCAGCCGCGGUAAUUCCAGCUCCAAUAGCGUAUAUUAAAGUUGUUGCAGUUAAAAAGCUCGUAGUUGAAUUUCGGGAUCAGUGGGUCGGUCGUGCCACUGGUAUGUACUGGCCCUACUGGUUCCUCCUUCUUGAGGAACUGUGAUGCCAUUAAUUUGGUGUUGCAGGGAAACAGGACUGUUACUUUGAAAAAAUUAGAGUGUUUAAAGCAGGCAAUCGCUUGAAUACAUUAGCAUGGAAUAAUGAAAUAGGACGUUCGACCCUAUUUUGUUGGUUUCUAGGAUUGACGUAAUGAUUAAUAGGGAUAGUUGGG